rnacentral:tRNA from 1 species
GCCUGGCUGGCUCAGUACGGUAGAGCACAUGACUCUUGGUCUCAGGGUCCUUGAGUUCAAGUCCCAUGUUGGGCA